UACGGAGGGUGCAAACGUUGCUCGGAAUCAUUGGGCGUAAAGCGCACGUAGGCGGACCUUCAAGUCGGAUGUGAAAUCCCUCGGCUUAACCGAGGACGUGCAUUCGAAACUGAAGAUCUUGAGUACGAAAGAGGAUCGCGGAAUUCCCGGUGUAGAGGUGAAAUUCGUAGAUAUCGGGAGGAACACCAGUGGCGAAGGCGGCGAUCUGGGUCGAUACUGACGCUGAGGUGCGAAAGCGUGGGGAGCAAACAGG
rnacentral:rRNA from 1 species